CGGAGGGAGCUAGCGUUGUUCGGAAUUACUGGGCGUAAAGCGCGCGUAGGCGGCUGUUUAAGUCAGAGGUGAAAGCCUGGAGCUCAACUCCAGAACUGCCUUUGAGACUGGACAGCUAGAAUCCUGGAGAGGUGAGUGGAAUUCCGAGUGUAGAGGUGAAAUUCGUAGAUAUUCGGAAGAACACCAGUGGCGAAGGCGGCUCACUGGACAGGUAUUGACGCUGAGGUGCGAAAGCGUGGGGAGCAAACAGGAUU
rnacentral:rRNA from 1 species